CCCGCCAUUUUACGUUGGGGUUCGCGGCGGCGCCAUUAAAGCGGGAGAAGGAAGCACAGUAGCUAGGUCCGCCGGCUGGGGUACGAGCCCUCGCGGUCUUAGCCGGCAGGCGGAAGCGGGCAUCCGCGCGCGCCGGUCUCGUGCUCGCCGCGGCUCCUCGGGCGCGGCAGCGUCAUGUCGGAGCAGCAGUUCGGGGGGGACUCAGCGGCCGGAGCGGGAGGCGGCUCGGCGGAGCAGGCGGAGCAGCAGGAGGGGAUGGCUGGGGCGGGCGGCGCGGAAGGGGGAGGCGGCGGCGGCGGCGGAGGAGGAGGAGGCGGCGGCGGUGGCGGUGGCGGCCCCGAGUCGGAGGGCGCCAAGAUAGACGCGAGCAAGAACGAGGAGGAUGAAGGCAAUUCAAACUCCUCCCCAUGGCUUUCUGAAGCGGCAGCGCCACAGCGGGAAGAAUGGAAAAUGUUCAUUGGAGGCCUUAGCUGGGACACAACAAAGAAAGAUCUGAAGGACUACUUUUCCAAAUUUGGUGAAGUCGUAGACUGCACUCUGAAGUUAGAUCCUAUCACAGGGCGAUCAAGGGGUUUUGGCUUUGUACUUUUUAAAGAGUCUGAAAGUGUAGAUAAGGUCAUGGACCAAAAAGAACAUAAACUGAAUGGAAAAGUGAUUGAUCCAAAAAGAGCUAAAGCCAUGAAAACAAAAGAACCUGUUAAAAAGAUUUUUGUUGGUGGACUAUCUCCAGAUACGCCUGAGGAGAAAAUAAGGGAGUAUUUUGGAGGUUUUGGUGAGGUGGAAUCUAUAGAGCUUCCUAUGGACAACAAAACCAACAAAAGGCGUGGAUUCUGCUUUAUUACUUUCAAGGAUGAGGAACCAGUGAAGAAAAUAAUGGAAAAAAAAUACCACAACGUCGGUCUUAGUAAAUGUGAAAUAAAAGUAGCCAUGUCAAAGGAACAGUAUCAGCAGCAACAGCAAUGGGGAAGUAGAGGAGGAUUUGUUGGGAGAGCCCGUGGAAGAGGUGGUGGCCCCAGUCAAAACUGGAACCAGGGAUAUAGCAACUACUGGAAUCAGGGAUAUGGCAACUAUGGCUACAACAGCCCAGGGUACGGUGGCUAUGGAGGAUAUGACUACACUGGUUACAACAACUACUAUGGAUAUGGUGACUAUAGCAAUCAGCAGAGUGGUUAUGGGAAAGUAUCCCGGCGAGGUGGUCAUCAAAAUAGCUACAAACCAUACUAAAUUAUUCCAUUUGCAACUUAUCCCAAACAGCGGGAACUUCAUUGCAGGCCCUGUAUCGCGCUGACUUCACGAUUCUCACAGGCCCGCUCAAUGCGGACAGGGUACGAGAUGCUCACGCUCUCGAAUGCUGCCGUUUGGUGGAGAAGCAGUAUUUUCUCAUUUGAAGAUUCAUUUGAGGUGGCUCGUGCUACCUGCUAAUAGCAGUUCAAACUAAUUUUUUUGUAUCAAGUCCCUGAAUUGGAAGUAAGACGUUGGGUCCCUCCUGAAGUUUAAUUGAGUUAUCAUUAAAACAAUUGCUUUCAUUGUCUUAUUUCUUAAUUGCUAUGCUUAAGAAUCAAUUUGUUUUAUGCCCCUUCCUUGGUAUUGUAGAGCAAGUCUUGUGUUUAAAAGCCCAGUGUGACAGUGUCAUGAUGUAGUAGUGUCUUACUGGUUUUUUAAUAAAUCUUUUUGUAUAAA